AGUGAACGCUGGCGGUAUGCCUAACACAUGCAAGUCGAACGGCAGCACAGUAAGAGCUUGCUCUUACGGGUGGCGAGUGGCGGACGGGUGAGGAAUACAUCGGAAUCUACUUUUUCGUGGGGGAUAACGGAGGGAAACUGACGCUAAUACCGCAUACGACCUACGGGUGAAAGCAGGGGAUCUUCGGACCUUGCGCGAUUGAUUGAGCCGAUGUCGGAUUAGCUAGUUGGCGGGGUAAAGGCCCACCAAGGCAACGAUCCGUAGCUGGUCUGAGAGGAUGAUCAGCCACACUGGAACUGAGACACGGUCCAGACUCCUACGGGAGGCAGCAGUGGGGAAUAUUGGACAAUGGGCGCAAGCCUGAUCCAGCAAUACCGCGUGGGUGAAGAAGGCCUUCGGGUUGUAAAGCCCUUUUGUUGGGAAAGAAAAGCAGCAGGUUAAUACCCCGCUGUUCUGACGGUACCCAAAGAAUAAGCACCGGCUAACUUCGUG
rnacentral:rRNA from 1 species